AUGGAAACCAAACCGAUGGCCAUGAACCAAACUAAUCGUCUUGCUAGGUUUCUUGACAAGUUGACUAAUUUAUCAACGAAAAACUGUUUCUUUCAUUUGUGUUGGGCUGAAAUUUAUCAUUUUUUUCGUGGUUCCCUGAAUGGGCCUGCACCGUGCCUUCCUUUUAUAUAUCGGUUGGGGAGCAGCCAGCAUCGAUCAACGAUUCAUUCGUCUAUCCUUGGUUGCAAAAGUUUCAUCAGCCCUUCCACAAUCGUUCAUCCAUCAAAUAGUCCCACCUCGCUUUAUUACAUUGAUGAAUCAGACCAGUUUAUAUACAUCUUGCUUAGGAAAUCAACAAGCAACCUUGGAAAUCAAACAAGCAGAGGGCAAAAGGAGGGAUUGGUGGCCGGAUGGCGAGCUUGGGCGGCGGAGGGAGGCCUGUGA
rnacentral:rRNA from 1 species